rnacentral:rRNA from 1 species
AACCUGGUUGAUCCUGCCAGUAGUCAUAUGCUUGUUUCAAGGAUUAAGCCAUGCAAGCCUAAGAGUAACUGAGACUAACAGGAGGUCUGCGAACGGCUCAUUAUAUCAGACAUUAUCUACCGGAAAAAUUGCAGUGAGAACUGCUUUAAUGGAUAACUUCGCGAAACGCGAAGCUAAUACAUGUACGGCACGUGGUGUUCUCUACUUGACCGCUUGGGGGAAACCCCUUGUGGGGAGAAUGCUUCGCGAAUGGUUGAAACAAAGAUCGACGCCAGCAAUGGCAGUGUCAAAACGCGAUGAAUCAAACCAUUCAGCAGAAGCUCGUUUCGGCGAGCGUGUUCCGACGAAUGUCUGCCCUAUCAGCUUUUGACGGUAGUGUAGUGGACUACCGUGGCGAUAACGGGUACGGGGAAUUAGGGUUCGAUUCCGGAGAGGGAGCCUGAGAAAUAGCUACCACUUCUACGGAGGGCAGCAGGCGCGUAAAUUGCCCAAUGCCAAAUUGGUGAGGCAGCGAAGAGAAAUAGCGACCCCGCCUCUUAGAGUGCGGGGAUUGCAAUGGGUGGUAUGUAAACCCACCAACGAGUAACAAUUGGAGGACAAGUCUGGUGCCAGCACCCGCGGUAAUUCCAGCUCCAAUAGCGUAUAUUAAUGCUGCUGCUGUUAAAGGGUUCGUAGUUGAAUACGGAGUUGUGACUUUAGAUGGGCUCGCCCAUCCUUGUUCCCAACUCUGUCAUAGACGGGAUCGGAGCCUUGCGGAUGCGCUCCUUCACUGGGGCGUUGAUGCUGUUUGGUGAAGAGCCAAACAUUACGCGUGCGAUACACGCUUGUGCCGCCCGUCGUUAUCACUGUGAAGAAAACAGCGUGUUCAAGGCAGCCGCUUGCGGUUGAAUGACAAAGCAUGGAAUGACAAAGCAACGACCGGUGGGUCCGUCUUUUGUCGGUUUUUACGAUCCAUUUGGAUAAUUUGUUUCCGGAGGUCAUGGGCUAUCUCACGAGGUACCCAUACUCCGGUGAACACGGGAUUAAUGGGGGUUGUCGGGGGAAAACGUAUCUGAGCGUGAGAGGUGAAAUUCUUAGACCGCUCGGGGACGAACUUAUGCGAAGGCAUUUUCCAAGUAUACCUUCAUCAAUCAAGAACUAAAGUGUGGAGAUCGAAGAUGAUUAGAUACCAUUGUAGUCCACUACUGCAAACGAUGACGCCCAUGGAUCGGAUAGUUUUUUGCUCGAUGGGAUCUUUUCGGCACUGCUCCCCCUUCAACGCGAAAGCUGAGGCUAUGGUCUGUACGUUCGCAAGGCUGAAACUUAAAGAAAUUGACGGAAUGGCACCACCAGGCGUGGAGUGUGCGGUUUAAUUUGACUCAACACGGGGAACCUUACCAGGACAGGACAACGCAAGGAUUGACAGAUUAAUAGUUCUUUCUUAAUUCGUUUGACGGUGGUGCAUGGCCGCUUUUGGUCGGUGAAGUGAUUUGUUUGGUUGAUUCCUUUAACGGACGAGACCCAAUCCGCUUAAUAGGGGCACCAUCUACCUUUCGGUAAACGGACGCAGCGGAAUUCGUUCUUGCUGUGCUCCCAGAUAGUGACACCCCUUCUUCGCGGCAUUCCUUGCGCCUUAGCAAGGUGGCAUUUUGGGCAACAGCAGGUCCGUGAUGCUCCUAAAUGUCCUGGGCGACACGCGCACUACMAUGACAAAGUGAAUGAGUGAAACCUUCAGGUCCUGCUUCGAAAGGAGUGGGAAAACUGAGAAAACUAUGUCGUGCUUGGGAUCGAAGCUUGCAAUUAUUCUUCUUGAACGAGGAAUGCCUAGUAGAUGUGCUUCAUCAAAGCGCAUUGACUACGUCCCUGCCAUUUGUACACACCGCCCGUCGUUGCUACCGAUGCCAGUUGGAUACAUGUCAACGGACUUUCUGCCCUUCGGGGUUUGAGGGAAAGUUGACCCAUGUUUAACUAAUACAGGAAGCCAAAGUCGUAGCGAGGUGCCUGUAGGUGAACCUGCAGAAGGAUCA